rnacentral:rRNA from 1 species
GACAGAGGCCUCGAGCGUUAGGCGGAAUCACUGGGCUUAAAGCGUGUGUAGGCGGGCCCGUAAGUGUCUUGUGAAAUCCCACGGCUCAACCGUGGAACUGCUGGGCAUACUGCGGGUCUUGGGCCAACUAGGGGCAGCCGGAACAAGCGGUGGAGCGGUGAAAUGCGUAGAUAUCGCUUGGAACGCCGACGGUGAAAACAGUCUGCUGGGGGCCUGCUGACGCUGAGACACGAAAGCCAGGGGAGCGAACGGG